AGAGUUUGAUCAUGGCUCAGGAUGAACGCUGGCGGCGUGCCUAACACAUGCAAGUCGAGCGAUUCUCUUCGGAGAAGAGCGGCGGACGGGUGAGUAACGCGUGGGUAACCUGCCCUGUACACACGGAUAACAUACCGAAAGGUAUGCUAAUACGAGAUAAUAUGCUUCUAUCGCAUGGUAGAAGUAUCAAAGCUCUGGCGGUACAGGAUGGACCCGCGUCUGAUUAGCUAGUUGGUAAGGUAACGGCUUACCAAGGCGACGAUCAGUAGCCGACCUGAGAGGGUGAUCGGCCACAUUGGAACUGAGACACGGUCCAAACUCCUACGGGAGGCAGCAGUGGGGAAUAUUGCACAAUGGGCGAAAGCCUGAUGCAGCAACGCCGCGUGAGCGAUGAAGGCCUUCGGGUCGUAAAGCUCUGUCCUCAAGGAAGAUAAUGACGGUACUUGAGGAGGAAGCCCCGGCUAACUACGUGCCAGCAGCCGCGGUAAUACGUAGGGGGCUAGCGUUAUCCGGAAUUACUGGGCGUAAAGGGUGCGUAGGUGGUUUCUUAAGUCAGAGGUGAAAGGCUACGGCUCAACCGUAGUAAGCCUUUGAAACUGGGAAACUUGAGUGCAGGAGAGGAGAGUGGAAUUCCUAGUGUAGCGGUGAAAUGCGUAGAUAUUAGGAGGAGCACCAGUUGCGAAGGCGGCUCUCUGGACUGUAACUGACACUGAGGCACGAAAGCGUGGGGAGCAAACAGGAUUAGAUACCCUGGUAGUCCACGCCGUAAACGAUGAGUACUAGCUGUCGGAGGUUACCCCCUUCGGUGGCGCAGCUAACGCAUUAAGUACUCCGCCUGGGAAGUACGCUCGCAAGAGUGAAACUCAAAGGAAUUGACGG
rnacentral:rRNA from 1 species